UAAUACAACUCUUUCCGCCAGAGAACUACNNGUGAAAAACUUGAAACUCAAAGGACUUGACGGUGUCCCAUAUCGGCCUAGAGGAGCCUGUCCUAUAAUCGAUACCCCCCGUUCCACCCAACCCCAACUAGCAAACAUACCAGCCUAUAUACCGCCGUCGACAGUUUACCCUAUGAAGGUCUAAUAGUAGACACAACAGCCUCUAACGCUAAUACGUCAGGUCAAGGUGUAGCAAAUGUUGUGGAAGAGAUUGGCUACAUUUUUUAUGAUAAAAAAUACGGAUUGCACUAUGAAAUACUGCAUGAAGGUGAAUUUAG
rnacentral:rRNA from 1 species